CUCUGUUAGGGACUGUGUGGGGUGUAGCAGAAAGGAUGCAGACUACUGGCUCUCAGAGGAUUGCUACCUGGUGAGAGUGGACACACAAGAGAGCCUGAGAGCUUUAACUGAGAGUUGAAGUUAUUCUGGAGGAGGAAGAAGGUGGUGUGACCAACCCAUGAGGGUUUGCAUCGGGGGACAAAUGUUGAGUGCAGCAUUUGAAUGGCACGCCGUCUUCUCCAGACAGGCAAGAAGAAAGAGGGCUUUGUAGCUAGAGGAAGAGCAUGCGCAAUGGCAAGGGAGACGCAAAGGCUCAGUGUUUGCCCAGAGUGAGCUGCUUUUGGAGGUUGUGGUCAUGAAUUAAAAUGGAUAUCCAACUGUUCCAUGAGGCAACGAAUGGGGAUUUUACAUAUUAAAUCAGCAUUGUCUGCUGGAGCUCUCUGCUACCUGGGAAGGCUCUGCAUUUGGGCUGUCAAAGCCACAAGCUCAGACAAUGAAGAUGGCAAACUGAAGGUGAACACUUCUUUCAAGUCAGUCACAAGAGGCUUAUGUGUUGGACUGUGUCUAUGGAUAUCCUAUUGCAGAACAUGGCGUUAGAUUAGUGAGAGCAGUCUUCCUCUAUAGGCACAACUUUGCAUCAGACAUUUGAUGGGAGAGGUCCAUCUUUGAAGGGAAGUUUUAUUUAAGUCUGUCCCUGGAUCCACAUCAUCCGUACGUCUGUCUACAGGGCAAAAAACUUCAUCUUUCAUGAGUGCAAUUUCAAACUUGGUGCCAACGAGAGACAUCUUCCCUGGACUCAAAUGCGCGAAGCCUGAACAGGACAUCUUGAGUGUUAGCUUCUCUGGGAUGGCUGCGGUGUGCAGCACAUUUUUGUUAAGGUGUUAUUCAAAGUUUCUGAUUAACAUAAGUUUUUCUUAAAAUUAUACAAAAACAUAAUACCAUGAUUAUGGAAAUAAAAAGCCACCCACAAGCUUACUA
rnacentral:lncRNA from 1 species